GUCCCUGACCCCCCGGAAGCCCUGACCACCAUGUACUUUUUGCUAACUCACUGUUAUGAUUAUAGCCAAAAUAGGUAACAUACACGUAUGCCUCAUUUACUCCACCAAUCACAUCCCUGUAACCAUGCAUCUGCUUCUGUAAGCCUGCUUCUGCUCCCCAAAAUACUAUAAAAAGCCCACCCUGGCUCUGCUAGGCGCGCCAGUCUUUCAAAUUGACUGGGACGCCCACAGAUAUCUGUGUAUCCUGAUCAAUAAAAAUCCUCUUGCAGAUUGCAGCCUGUGGACUCGGACUGGUCAUUGGGCUUGAGGAUCUCCCUCCUGAGGGAAGAUUCUCUCUGAGAGUCUUACAUAUGGGGGCUCGUCCGGGAUCGGAGAUCCUCUGCCUAGAGACCACCGACCACCCACCGGGAGGCUAAAAGACCUACAGGUGAUACAGAAAGAAAUCUGCUCACAGCUGACAGCAGCCUAUGCCCCGGAGACCCCUGAGACAUCCCAUCAGUUCCAGGUUAGAGACUACAGCUACACUGAGCCCAGACACUCGAGCCUCGCUAGAAAGGACCAUACCUGGUGCUGCUGACCACCCUGACAGCCAUCAAGUCUCAGCCCUCACCAGCAGCGUACUAGCUGUUGGGGCUGAGAGCUGGGACCUAGAGGGACACUCAGAUCUUCAAAAAGCUCCCUAGACUUAAGUGAUUGGGAGGUUGCUAUAAUGCUCACUUGAGGAGUGUGUUUUAGAAACAAGAAUUUCAUGUUUGCCUGUUUGCCCUGGGUUCCCUUGGAAUAGGUGUAAGGAUAGGCUUGAUUUUUAUUACAAAUGAUGUAACAUUACAUAUGUUAGUACUCCUAACACUUCUUGGGACUGUGCCUCAGGGAUCACAACCUGUAUAAGUUUAGAAGUUCUAAAAGACCUUGGUGUAUAGGUUCAGAUAGUGUCCAGAUUAGAAUCCUGAUGCUAAAGACUUAAUAAGACACAAAAGAGAGUUGAGAAUUAUUUAAGGCUAUCCAGGUGCUACAAGGGCAGCACAAGGACAUCUUCAGUUGCCCUACAAUGCAAAAAAGAAUAAAAAAGACUUUUUAGCUGACCUCCAAGAACACCUAACCUCCCUCUCAGAGGUAGUCCUUCAAAAUAGGAAAAGAUUAGACCUGAUAUUCCUUAAAGAAAGAGUCUGUGUGCUACACUAAAAGAAGAAUGUUUCUAUGCAGAUCAGACAGGAAUAAUAAGAGAUAUAGUCUUUCAGUCAUUCAAACUUUUGUGCUGAGACAACAGUAUCAGAUGGUGAAAAAAAAAAAAAAAACAGAGGUACCUAAAACAAGUUGAGUGGAAGAUUCCACUCAAGGACAAAAAAAGAAAAUGGGGGAAUGAAAGACCCCCUCCCAGAAAGGGAAUUGUACAAGCCCAAGGCCCUCAACUAUAGAAGUAAAAAGUAAGUUUUUAGAUAUGUGGGACAAGCUGACCGAUCAUUUAGACGAAACAGACCAGAAAAGAAAACAAAAUGCAGAAACCAGACUAAAUUAUGGGCACUGCUCCAUGGGCCACCUGGCAGAAAAAAAAAAAAGUCCCUGACCCCCCGGAAGCCCUGACCACCAUGACUUUUUGCUAACUCACUGUUAUGAUUAUAGCCAAAAUAGGUAACAUACACGUAUGCCUCAUUUACUCCACCAAUCACAUCCCUGUAACCAUGCAUCUGCUUCUGUAAGCCUGCUUCUGCUCCCCAAAAUACUAUAAAAAGCCCACCCUGGCUCUGCUAGGCGCGCCAGUCUUUCAAAUUGACUGGGACGCCCACAGAUAUCUGUGUAUCCUGAUCAAUAAAAAUCCUCUUGCAGAUUG